GUCCACGCCGUAAACGAUGAGUGCUAGGUGCUGUGGGUAUUGACCCCCGCGGUGCCGCAGCCAACGCGUUAAGCACUCCGCCUGGGGAGUACGGCCGCAAGGCUAAAACUCAAAGGAAUUGACGGGGCCCGCACAAGCGGUGGAGCAUGUGGUUCAAUUCGACGCAACGCGCAGAACCUUACCUGGGUUAAAUCCACCAGAAUCUUGUAGAGAUACAGGGGUGCCCUUCGGGGAACUGGUGAGAAGGUGCUGCAUGGCUGUCGU
rnacentral:rRNA from 1 species